UUUGGGUUUUGUGUUCCAUUGAAUAAUUAAAACUAUUUUUGAACUUGAAUCUGGUUUUUGAAUUAUGUUAAGCGGCUCUGAAGUACCUGCAUUCGGGAGUCGUAACAAGGACAAACAGCUCAACAAGAAUUUUUUUACAUACUGAAUCCAACUGAGUUGAUAAAGAGUCAAAGAUGCUUGGUAUAACAUGGCUCUGUUUUACCCUCAUUAUAUCAAAGUACAUUCAAGUUAUCGUCAGCAAACAUUCUCAUGUCUGACCUUAUGAUGGAAAGAAGGUUAUUGAUGAAACAGCUGAAGACGGUCGGGCCUAGGACACUAUCCUGAGGAAGUCUUGGCCAGAGGAACACACUGGAGCUGAGAUGAUUGACCACCAUAUGCAUCGGAGAAAUGACAAUUAAUUAUUUUCUGGAGUGAAGUACGAUAAUAAUCUCGCCUGGACCGAUUUGUGCCACUCUGGAAAUUUGAUGAAGCAUCUCCCAGUGUGAGUUAUUCUAUUGAAUCAGACAUGGUUUCCACAUCAGGCUACAGGCAAUUAUGUCAUUUCUCAUGCAAAACCACUUAUGGAGCAUUGCAAGGGGGACAAGGACUCUGUUGCACUGUGAGUGCCUGUUGCUGGGCGUUCCUGGGUCAACAUGCCAUUACUAACUCAUCGCAUGAUUGGGAUGCCU